ensembl:lncRNA
UGUUGCCAGUGGCAGCUCAUAUUAACUGUUUUAAGCUGACUUCUUUCCAUGAUUAACUUGAAGACAGGCCAAAAAAAGGGCCUAUUGUUGAGUGUGUGUACUUUCUGCAUUUUUGUACUCUGCCAAAGUUUCUUUAUAAGGGAAAGAAAGUAUCAUUUUAUCUUUUCUGUAGAUCUCCAACAGAGAGACUUGAUGGGUUGUUAUGCCACAUUUGCUGUAUUUUUGGAUCUAUUAAAGGUGCAAGCAAGUACAAUGCUAGCAACAGUUUUGUUGUUUUAUUUGUCUUCCUUUGUGGAUCUAAUUUCUUCUUUUUUCAUAUCUUGUUUUUUUCUUUGUCACAGCUACAGUCAUUUUUCAGGAAAAAGAUAGAAGUAAUAAAAGUAAAUAUGUAGCCAGCUCAUCAGCAAUGCGUCUUGUGAGUGGUUGUGUGCUGAUUAGGCAAACCAGAAAACACCAAAGUUAAAGGUAAGAAAUCACCGCAGAUCCCACUCAUUGCUCCUAACAAGCCACUCCCUAGAUACAAGCAAUCACAAAAACAGGAAUCAGGUCUAGGGGCCUUAAUAUGUGCGUCAUAGUUUGAACUUUGUAUUUCAGGUUGCUUGAUAUUUUUGCUAUCUAACAUUCUAUGUGUUGUUGUUCAUGGUUUAGAGAUUUCAGACAUUUGAAAUUAACUGUUUUUUCAGUCUCUGUCUUUAUUUUUCCAAGCAACCUUAUGCCUCUGCAUGAUUUACAUAUAAUUUUUUUUUUUUUUAAAAAGAAGAAGUACAAAGUUUCUGUCACAUAUUCUUAGCUCAAAAUGUCAGUCUUUCAAAUGAUUACAUAUAUCUUGAGGACUGAGCGUCACCCCAAAAUUAGCAGACAUGUUAUCAGCACAGCUACACCACCAACAAAGCUGUCACAUGUGUAACUGUUGUCAGUAUACAAAGUUAAUUUGAAUAUAUUUUUGAUAGUGAAGUAAAGAUAACAUUGUAGAUGAUUUUUAGACUUUGUUCCAUUUAGUCACAAAUGCAAUAUGAAUAACUUUCCCUUGGUACAUCAGCACAAAAUGUCUGAACUGAAAAAAGUGUGAUGCAACAGAAGUGCAGACUUUUACAUUUAAUUCCAGCAUUUUAUCAAAAAACACUGAGCCUUAGAGUCUCAAAUGAGCUAAGACAAAUGAACAUAAUGCUCAUUUCUAAAAAUGUGUUAAGAAUCUUUUGUUAACAUCAACUACCUGAAAUCUGGACUCCAUGACCAAUGUUGAUUACAUGGGUUUGUCUGUAAAGGUUCUCAGUCAUCCAGGUCAUCAUAGUCUAAGGAGCUUGGAAA